GGGGGCGAAUAUGGUUUCGACAUGAAUGUCAAAGUCUUAGGUGCAUGCCGAGGAAGUACAGUACCUCGCUAAUAACAGUACAAUGCCUAUAUAACUGGCAACAAAAAAGCAAACCGCGUAGCGGCUAACGACAACAGCUUUGCAGCUGUUGCUAAAGCUGCCUAGUCUAGCUUAAUAACCUAGAAACGCACGGGUAUGAUGGGCUUUCUUAUGAGGCUGUCUAUACAUCCGUUCAUCUUUUACAUAAGAUGGUCAUUUGCUUUAAGUCUGGAAGUAAAUGACUGUACUAAUCAGACUCGCUAACUUUUACCCUGACUAACUGGGGAAAAGCCAAGCUAAACACUAAAUGAGUUGGUCUAAGCAUGUAGAUCCGAGGAUGAAGAGUUUAUGGACGCGGGUUCAAGUCCCGCCGCCUCCACCA
rnacentral:tmRNA from 1 species